GAUCAAGAAGUCCGACGCCAAGCCCUCCGGCUCGUCGGCUGGCAACCGGUCAUCGCGCCCGGUGCCUCCGGAGGAAGAUCCGCCGCCCGCGACCGCGAGCGGAAGAUCGCGAA
rnacentral:ncRNA from 1 species